AUUGAACGCUGGCGGCAGGCCUAACACAUGCAAGUCGAACGAGUGGCGGACGGGUGAGUUAUGUGUGGGAAACUGCCUGAUGGAGGGGGAUAACUACUGGAAACGGUAUCUUAUACCGUAUACUAUCGUAUGUGCCCAGAUGGGAUUAGCUAGUGGGUGGGGUAAAGGCUCACCUGGGCGACGAUCCCUAGCGGGUCUGAGAGGAUGACCAGCCACACUGGAACUGAGACACGGUCCAGACUCCUACGGGAGGCAGCAGUGGGGAAUAUGGCACAAUGGGCGCAAGCCUGAUGCAGCCAUGCCGCGUGUAUGAAGAAGGCCUUCGGGUUGUAAAGUACUUUCAGCGGGGAGGCGUUACCCGCAGAAGAAGCACCGGCUAACUCCGUGCCAGCAGCCGCGGUAAUAC
rnacentral:rRNA from 1 species